UGAACAAAAAAAUUUAAAAAAAUCCCAGAGAAGUUCAGCUGAUAAUGCAGUGGAGUCAUCUGCGUAGUGCUAGGAGAGGGCGCAGUCAUGUCUCUCCAGCCAGUGAUAUCAUCAAUACCACUAUGACUUGUGCAGAAUAGAGGUUGGAAGAAACAGAAUUGCCGGUGUUGGCUGGAGACGUUCAGGUGCAAUGUGUGUCUGCAGGCAGUUGCAUGGCCAACCGGCAGCCUGAGUCACACAACAGUCCCUGGCUAAGAGCCGAACUUGGGUGCUAAAACUCCCCUAGCAUCCCCAAAGAGCCAUGGCACUUCUUGGCACUCUUCCAGCUACCAUUUUAUCCAGCGAAUGUGCAGUUUAAGCAAACUUUGUCAUUCCUAAUCGCAUCACCCGCCUUUGGGAAGCCCUGGCCAAGGAGGGCAGGCAGGCUGCCUGCAUCUUUUCCAAGUCUCAAAUCCAGUUCUAGGCUGCUAAAGAUUAGGAUCCCAUCCUCAGCUAGAUUCUGAUGCAGAGAUGCGAUCUGGCCACAGGGGAGGCAACCAAGUGAUGAGGUUGGCUUUCAGACUCGCAGGCAUGGGUAAGCUGCUGGAGGCACUUACUGUUUGGGAAGCCAGCUCCUCUGCAGCAGGUGGCUGCAGCAAGGAAUCGUGUAAGCUCCCAGGAGAGCAGCAUUGCUCUCUGGUGCUUACACUUGUGGUUACUCAGCAGUGUCACAUGCCCUGUGUUUGUUUGUCUUGGGUUUCCCAUGGGUUCUUGCAUUAUGAAUUCCUUCGAGUUACUGGAUCUUGACUUUCUCUGAGACUAGUGCUCUUGCAAGGUCCAAAAGAGGAUAAACUGAUCAUUUCCUGAUCAUGGGGAGCAGCAGCAGUAGGAUGGUGAUGGCUCUGUCAUGCAUCAACUUGAUAAGGUCAGCCACAGUCGUCCUCAUGGAGAGCAGCCAAGGUGCUCAAGGUGCAGCUGAAGUAACAGCUCUUUCCCUCACAGUCCCCAUGUUCCUGAAAGCAGUACUGUGUUCCCAUACAAACUGUAACAAUUUGGAUGUUUUGAAAGGUCCUUACCAGUGGUGAGGAACUCCAGACUAUGUCACACUGCUGUGUUGCAAUAUUGCUUCUUGUUAGGCUUGUAUAUGAUUCUCUUUUCUUUAGUCCUUCACCAAGAUUCUACUAUCCAAUGAGAAGCACGCCUCAUCUGUGCAGCUGUCUUUGGGAAAAGGGCUAUUAACCUACUGUGUUAUUUUUUCUAAAAAAAAAAAAGGAAAUCUGCAAGCACAGGAGUGUGAGAUGGUGGUGUGGGUUUGAGCUGUUCUCACCACUAACCUGUCUUCUGCAGGUCUGUGCCAGCACUGGGGUACGCCCCUGCCCUUGAUGACCUCAGCCCUAACCCUGCCACUGCUACCAGCUUCACGCCUGUGAUGCCAACGGUUGUGACUGUAGGAAAGAUGACCUACUCCAGUCAUCUGGCCGGCAGCCGUGUUAUUUCUUCAUCAGCUUUUGGGGGAGUGUUUCCCACCCCGCACAUGGCUGGAGGCCAGCUGUGUCCCCGGCUGGGGGCUGCUGCCUUGGGUCUCUGCCCUCCGGUGCUCUGACUCACCAAGAUGAGUCUGAAACAAAGAGCUCUCAUAAAAUCUACAGGAAGAUGUAUGAGAAGAUAGAGAUCUCAUUUACCGAGACACCACCAGCUCCUCACUGGCACCAGCAAAUGAAAAAGCAGCACUCUUGUGCCCAGCAAGACCCCAGACCUGCGUACUGGUUGUCAUUGUCGGAAACCAUUAAAGAAUGAGCCAGCAAAGGCCCGGAAAGAUUCCAUGAGUAAUAAUCUUGGAGCUUUGCCCAGGCUUAAUAACAGAAUAACAAACAACAACAUGAAUAAAGGGAGAGCAGGCUAUGCACAAGGGGUCUCCAGUGGCUGCAGGAUCUAUGAAGAUUUGGCUGUUGAUGCUGAGUUUUAAGGCAGUUGGCUCUUCGGGGACCAGCUCCUCCCUUGAAUAUCUCAGUGGAGGACAGCAUUCUGUAUGUGGCACACCAUCUUCUUGCUCUCUUCAUAGGUUUGAAUGCAUCCAGCAAGCCCCUGGAGGCUGGGACUGCCCUCCUGGGAUUAAAAGAAAACUCGACAGUGAGUAUGAUAAGAAGCUCUAGCCUAUGCUACAGUGAGAAAUUCUUGAUGCAAAGAAAGGUGCAGGACUGUGGAAAAAGCCUUCAGUGGUGAAGAUGACUGGAAAGCAGGACAGAUUGCCAAAGAUAACUGAAAGCUUCCAUUGUAAGUUUUUAGAAAUAACAUCCAUCAGGAAGAGUUUAUGUCAAGCUCACCCUACAUGGGUCUUGGGGCACAAAUCUCCCACCCUAUGAAACAGAGCUGACAAUUUCCUUAUUCAAGCUUUUUUUGUGCAGCAGGUGUCCCAGUUAACCUGCUUGCUGUAGUGUGGAAUUGACGACUCAGCUCUUCAGAACAAGAGGCUCUGCCUGCAGAGCCUUCCUUCUAGCACAUACAAACAAAAGAGAGCAGCACUUCUUUUGCUUGUCUCAUAUUGUGUUUUGGAACUCACUUGUGAUGCUCUCAGAGGCUCCGUGCUCCCUUCAGACCUGAAAUCCUCACAGCUGCCACAAAGUUUCUAGCAAACAAACUCAGUGCUUUCAUUUUACACCGGAAACAACAAUUAUGUGGGAAAUCCCCCUCCCACACUCCAGAGUCCAUACUUUGGGUAGCUAGAGCUCACCAUAUACAGCUAUAUAGGUUCAGUGUUAGUUUUAAGAUCUACAAUGUAAAAAGUCACUGGGGUAAACUUUUAAGAUAAGCAUACCAAGCCACUUCAGAUUGAGCCCUCAACUAUACAAAAAUGGCAGAAGACGGUAGGGGACCAAAGCCUUCAUUCUCCUCCCUCCCACUACCCUCUCGCUCAACCCCACACUGCCCUGCCUCAGCAAAUACAACCUACCAAGUGUAGAGCUGCUCACAUUCUGCCAGACCCUACUGAGUUCUCUACUGUUGCCUUUCCCAGCUUCUCCAUUAUCCUGAAGUGAUCUUCUCAGGACAGGAGCUGCUGCUAUCUGUACAGACACUGCCUCUUGCUAUGCCUAAAUCCAGUGCACAUCCCUCAAGAGGAUGCAGGAGAACCACCUGCACAGCUCCCUGCUGCAGCUCUGGUCUAACACAAGCACUGAUUCAUGAAAUUAAGUUAUAGGCAGGUAACCAAGAAACACAUUAUGGAUACACAUUCUCCUCAGUUCUCAAGGGUGCAACAGCAAAGGAAAUUGCAUGGGCAAGGGAAAAAAAAUUAGUUCUCUUUUUCAAAUACUUUCCAAAGGAAAAGCAGAAUGAAUAGGAUUUAUAAGCUUCCUCUUCCAUUUUCUCCCUGAGGAAGCAGUUCCAAUUCCACUAUCCAGAUGGCACAAGAACAAAGAACCAAGUCAUCUUUCAGCAGAUAUGUUAUAGAUAUGGUUAAAAACACAGUGAAUUAACUUCUAAUAUAAGAAUGCUUAAUAUGCCUUCAUAAGCCCAUUCUCUUUGGCACCUAAAGAGUAGAGAUGACACGAGACAGUAAUGCAGCUGGAACACCAUAUGCAGAGUCCAUUCCCUUAUACAGCCUGAGCCGAAUGGCUCCCUGCAAAAUUAAGACUGAAUUUGCUAUCCCAUCUCAGGGAUGGUGAAGCUGCUUGCUGGGAUGUCUGAAUCCUUAGCUGUACCGAUAGGCACAGAGGCUGUUUCUUGCCCUAAGUCCAAGCAGCUCCUGGAAUGUUAGAACACUACCCUAAAAUAAGAUUAGACAAGGACUAGGCUGAUGGGAAAACACUACCCAGAACCCUGAUUUUACUAUUUUAGUAACUGGUGAGAGACCCCAUGACAGCUGGUGCUCAUCUGUCAUAUUAUUGUAAUGCAAAAUAAUUCAGAAGACAGGCUAGAAAAGGCUUUUCCUUUUUACCUUGUUUUCUCAUCUUCUAAUCCAAAGUUUCCUCAACGUGUCAAUUUAUUCAA